GAGAAGCUUGCUUCUCUGAUGUUAGCGGCGGACGGGUGAGUAACACGUGGAUAACCUACCUAUAAGACUGGGAUAACUUCGGGAAACCGGAGCUAAUACCGGAUAAUAUUUUGAACCGCAUGGUUCAAAAGUGAAAGACGGUCUUGCUGUCACUUAUAGAUGGAUCCGCGCUGCAUUAGCUAGUUGGUAAGGUAACGGCUUACCAAGGCAACGAUGCAUAGCCGACCUGAGAGGGUGAUCGGCCACACUGGAACUGAGACACGGUCCAGACUCCUACGGGAGGCAGCAGUAGGGAAUCUUCCGCAAUGGGCGAAAGCCUGACGGAGCAACGCCGCGUGAGUGAUGAAGGUCUUCGGAUCGUAAAACUCUGUUAUUAGGGAAGAACAUAUGUGUAAGUAACUGUGCACAUCUUGACGGUACCUAAUCAGAAAGCCACGGCUAACUACGUGCCAGCAGCCGCGGUAAUACGUAGGUGGCAAGCGUUAUCCGGAAUUAUUGGGCGUAAAGCGCGCGUAGGCGGUUUUUUAAGUCUGAUGUGAAAGCCCACGGCUCAACCGUGGAGGGUCAUUGGAAACUGGAAAACUUGAGUGCAGAAGAGGAAAGUGGAAUUCCAUGUGUAGCGGUGAAAUGCGCAGAGAUAUGGAGGAACACCAGUGGCGAAGGCGACUUUCUGGUCUGUAACUGACGCUGAUGUGCGAAAGCGUGGGGAUCAAACAGGAUUAGAUACCCUGGUAGUCCACGCCGUAAACGAUGAGUGCUAAGUGUUAGGGGGUUUCCGCCCCUUAGUGCUGCAGCUAACGCAUUAAGCACUCCGCCUGGGGAGUACGACCGCAAGGUUGAAACUCAAAGGAAUUGACGGGGACCCGCACAAGCGGUGGAGCAUGUGGUUUAAUUCGAAGCAACGCGAAGAACCUUACCAAAUCUUGACAUCCUUUGACAACUCUAGAGAUAGAGCCUUCCCCUUCGGGGGACAAAGUGACAGGUGGUGCAUGGUUGUCGUCAGCUCGUGUCGUGAGAUGUUGGGUUAAGUCCCGCAACGAGCGCAACCCUUAAGCUUAGUUGCCAUCAUUAAGUUGGGCACUCUAAGUUGACUGCCGGUGACAAACCGGAGGAAGGUGGGGAUGACGUCAAAUCAUCAUGCCCCUUAUGAUUUGGGCUACACACGUGCUACAAUGGACAAUACAAAGGGCAGCGAAACCGGGAGGUCAAGCAAAUCCCAUAAAGUUGUUCUCAGUUCGGAUUGUAGUCUGCAACUCGACUACAUGAAGCUGGAAUCGCUAGUAAUCGUAGAUCAGCAUGCUACGGUGAAUACGUUCCCGGGUCUUGUACACACCGCCCGUCACACCACGAGAGUUUGUAACACCCGAAGCCGGUGGAGUAACCUUUUAGGAGCUAGCCGUCGAAGGUGGGACAAAUGAUUGGGGUGAAGUCGUAACAAGGUAGCCGUAUCGGAAGGUGCGGCUGGAUCACCUCCUUUCUA
rnacentral:rRNA from 1 species